rnacentral:rRNA from 2 species
GAGUUUGAUCCUGGCUCAGAACGAACGCUGGCGGCAGGCUUAACACAUGCAAGUCGAGCGCACAGUUUACUGUGAGCGGCAGACGGGUGAGUAACGCGUGGGAAUCUACCUUGAGCUACGGGAUAACAGAGAGAAAUUUCUGCUAAUACCGUAUGUGGCCUUUGGGCGAAAGAUUUAUCGGCUUAAGAUGAGCCCGCGUUGGAUUAGCUGGUUGGUGGGGUAAAGGCCUACCAAGGCGACGAUCCAUAGCUGGUCUGAGAGGAUGAUCAGCCACACUGGGACUGAGACACGGCCCAGACUCCUACGGGAGGCAGCAGUGGGGAAUAUUGGACAAUGGGCGCAAGCCUGAUCCAGCCAUGCCGCGUGAGUGAAGAAGGCCUUAGGGUUGUAAAGCUCUUUCACCGGUGAAGAUAAUGACGGUAGCCGGAGAAGAAGCCCCGGCUAACUUCGUGCCAGCAGCCGCGGUAAUACGAAGGGGGCUAGCGUUGUUCGGAUUUACUGGGCGUAAAGCGCGCGUAGGCGGAUAGAUAAGUCAGAGGUGAAAUCCCGGGGCUCAACCCCGGAAUUGCCUUUGAUACUGUUUAUCUUGAGUGCAGAAGAGGUAAGUGGAAUUCCGAGUGUAGAGGUGAAAUUCGUAGAUAUUCGGAGGAACACCAGUGGCGAAAGCGGCUUACUGGUCUGCAACUGACGCUGAGGCGCGAAAGCGUGGGGAGCAAACAGGAUUAGAUACC